UACAGAGGUCUCAAGCGUUGUUCGGAUUCAUUGGGCGUAAAGGGUGCGUAGGCGGCGCGGUAAGUCGGGUGUGAAAUCUCGGAGCUUAACUCCGAAACUGCAUUCGAUACUGCCGUGCUUGAGGACUGGAGAGGAGACUGGAAUUUACGGUGUAGCGGUGAAAUGCGUAGAUAUCAGGAGGAACACCGGUGGCGAAGGCGGGUCUCUGGGCCGAUAUUGACGCUGAGGAGCGAAAGCGUGGGGAGCGAACAGG
rnacentral:rRNA from 1 species